UACGUCUCACGUAACUGGCGAAAAGCUGCGAUCGGCCCCAGAAUGGUGCGCGGAUCAAUCGGCGAAAGAUGGACAUCCAUCGGGAAACGUGAGAUUUCAACAGCCGUUCGCCUGGGCAGCCCUU
rnacentral:ncRNA from 2 species